GAUGAAGAACGUAGCGAAAUGCGAUAAGUAAUGUGAAUUGCAGAAUUCAGUGAAUCAUCGAAUCUUUGAACGCACAUUGCGCCCGCCAGUAUUCUGGCGGGCAUGCCUGUUCGAGCGUCAUUUCAACCAUCAAGCCCCCGGCUUGUGUUGGGGACCUGCGGCUGCCGCAGGCCCUGAAAACCAGUGGCGGGCUCGCUGUCACACCGAGCGUAGUAGAUUUUCAUCUCGCUCAGGGCGUGCUGCGGGUUCCGGCCGUAAAAAGCCUUAUUUACCCAAGGUUGACCUCGGAUCAGGUAGGAAGACCCGCUGAACUUAAGCAUAUCAAUAAGCGGAGG
rnacentral:misc_RNA from 1 species